UACAGAGGGUGCAAGCGUUGCUCGGAAUCAUUGGGCGUAAAGGGCAGGUAGGUGGUCCCAUUUGUCUGAGGUGAAAGCCUUCGGCUUAACCGAAGAAGUGCCUUAGAAACGGUGGGACUCGAGUGCUAGAGAGGGUUGUGGAAUUCCCGGUGUAGCGGUGAAAUGCGUAGAGACUGGGAGGAACACCGGUGGCGAAGGCGGGUCUCUGGGCAGUAACUGACGCUGAGGAGCGAAAGCGUGGGGAGCGAACAGG
rnacentral:rRNA from 1 species